AUGUUGGCAUCAACUGUUGUUAACAAGCACAUAUUGACGCAUGGCAUGGAAAGUACAUAUACUCAUUGGAUAUAUCAUGGAGAAGACUUCAAUGCAGAUGUUAUUGAACAUCUUGCUAAUGUGCAUGACUCUGAGGAUGGUAACAAUGGUGCUGACCGAUCUGAAGAGAUGUUUGGCGACCUACGCACAGUAGUAGAACAAGGUAAGAAGGAAACUGAAAAUGAAAACGGUAACAAUGAUGCAAAUCCUUCUGAGACCGAGUCCUUUUUGAAUAACGUGAGGAAAGAGGCAAAGCGGCACCUUUACAAUGGUUGUACCAAGUUUUCAAGGUUCUCAUUUGUGGUAAGGCUUCUUCAUUUGAAGUCAUGCCAUACGAUCACAAAUAGUGCAUUUACUGACAUUUUGAAGCUACUGGCUGAAGCAUUCCCUCAACCCAAUACACUCCGAAAAUCUUAUGACGAAACAAAGAAUCUUCUAAAGGAAUUGGGCCUUGGGUAUGAGUCUAUACAUGUGUGCAUCAAUAAUUGUGUUUUGUUCAGAAAGCAAUAG
rnacentral:rRNA from 1 species